rnacentral:piRNA from 1 species
UCCCCACAUGAUUUCAGUUUGUC